rnacentral:misc_RNA from 1 species
GAUGAAGAACGCAGCGAAAUGCGAUAAGUAAUGUGAAUUGCAGAAUUCAGUGAAUCAUCGAAUCUUUGAACGCACCUUGCACCCUUUGGACUGCUCCAAAGGGUAUGCUCGUUUGAGUGUCAUUGUACUCUCACACUCUCUGAUCCUUUGGAUUUGGGGAGCAGUGGACUUGGGUGCUUGCUGCUUCCUUGUGGCUCACCUGAAAUGCAUCAGUGCAUCUCUCGAUCGGACAUAGUACGGCGUGAUAAGUGUCUUCGCCGGCACCUCAUAUGAGGGUGGCCGAUCGGGAGCUCUGUGCUUUCAAACCGUCUUCGGACAACGCUGACAACUUGACCUCAAAUCGAGUAGGACUACCCGCUGAACUUAAGCAUAUCAAUAAGCGGAGGA